GUCACGAUAGCUCAAGUGGUAGAGUAGCGGCGUAUAUAGCCGAAGUCGUGGGUUCGAAUCCCGCUCGUGACA
rnacentral:tRNA from 1 species